rnacentral:rRNA from 1 species
AACAAGGAUUCCCCUAGUAGCGGCGAGCGAAGCGGGAAGAGCUCAAAUUUAUAAUCUGGCACCUUCGGUGUCCGAGUUGUAAUCUCUAGAAAUGUUUUCCGCGUUGGACCGCACACAAGUCUGUUGGAAUACAGCGGCAUAGUGGUGAGACCCCCGUAUAUGGUGCGGACGCCCAGCGCUUUGUGAUACAUUUUCGAAGAGUCGAGUUGUUUGGGAAUGCAGCUCAAAUUGGGUGGUAAAUUCCAUCUAAAGCUAAAUAUUGGCGAGAGACCGAUAGCGAACAAGUACCGUGAGGGAAAGAUGAAAAGCACUUAGGAAAGAGAGUUAACAGUACGUGAAAUUGUUGGAAGGGAAACGCUUGAAGUCAGACUUGCUUGCCGAGCAAUCGGUUUGCAGGCCAGCAUCAGUUUUCCGGGAUGGAUAAUGGUAGAGAGAAGGUAGCAGUUUCGGCUGUGUUAUAGCUCUCUGCUGGAUACAUCUUGGGGGACUGAGGAACGCAGUGUGCCUUUGGCGGGGGUUUCGACCUCUUCACACUUAGGAUGCUGG